UUGUAUGGUUAGUCCUCGUAACAGCAAGGAACUGCACUCAACCUAGAAGUCCUUUCAAGUCUUACAUUCCUAAAACCUGAUUGCCUUUGGAACUCUACAACAGCUUUGUUUUUGAUGGGUUCAGUUAACAUUUGUCUCUGGAUAGGGAAGAGACUUGGAAACAGGGGAAAGGUUGUAUUUCAGAUGCUGAAACACCUCUGGAACUGGCAUUGGUUUGGACCUUGAGCAUCUUAAAACGGGUAUUAAUAAAGGGGUUACAGGUAGAAACCAAUGUUCAAGAAAAGUACUUGAAAGAUGUUGAAGCAGGAGCAAAUGUGGGAGUCAUGAAGAUCCCUGGGAACUUAUAAGUACGCAAAACCCACUGCUGAGGACUUAAACACCAGCUGGCUGUCAACCUAAACAGAAUCCAGCUGGCUUGACCACAUUUCAAACUUAGUAAGGAAAUGAGAGAAACUUUCACUUCUUCAGCUUGUUUAGAAGACCAUAUUUUAAAAUCAAGACUUUGUUGAUGAGCCUGCUCAGGUAAAGGGCUGAAUGGUUCUGUGGGGACACGCUGCCCUGUGCUGCUGUGGCUUUCUACCUGUACGCUGAGGAAGACCACAAGCUGUGCUGUAGCAUUUCUCCAGAAGCCCAAACCUCUCAUUGCCAAAUAGUGCACCAUUUAAGCAGGACUUUCUACCAACAUGACCACAUAACAGGGUUACUCCUGGCACAACUGCACAUACAGAAGAGGAAUUGCAUUCAUUAACUGUAUCAGUUUCCAAAUAGCACAUAAUCUGGACACAGACUUAAGCCCUGGCCUGACAAGCCAAGCCACUUCCCUCUGCCUUCCACCUCUGACCGAUGAAUUUCCAAAUGGGAGGCAACUGAAAAUCCUGUUGAUGAGAUGAAGAACCCACCCUAGGGUCUCAACCUUAAGUGGAAGCAGAGACACCGACUCCAGUUAUCAUGGAAACAGAAAGAUGUGGUUGAAGAGAAGCUGGUUCAAAUGGAUUUCAGAGAAAAUGGUUACACCCUCCAGCACUGAGGAACAUUUUAAAGCAAAAUCCUGGGAGAGCCUUGCAGCUGAUAGGAUCCUUCUAGCAGGCGUGGGGGAGUGCAAAAACAUGUGAUUGCUUGACUUUGUUUGGUAGUGUCACAUUAAUGAAAGAAAUGUGUUCAUCUAUCAUCUUGAAUCAAAUAUAUAAACUUCUUCUUGAAGA